GACGAACCGUGCAAACGUUGUUCGGAAUCACUGGGCUUAAAGGGCGCGUAGGCGGGCCAGCCAGUCUGUGGUGAAAGCCUCCAGCUUAACUGGAGAAGUGCCGUGGAUACUGCUGGCCUCGAGGAGGGUAGGGGCAUCUGGAACGGUCGGUGGAGCGGUGAAAUGCGUUGAUAUCUAGGGGAACACCAAAAGCGAAGGCAGGAGACUGGACCAUUCCUGACACUGAAACACGAAAGCGUGGGUAGCGAAUGGG
rnacentral:rRNA from 1 species